UGGGGAAUUUUGCACAAUGGGGGAAACCCUGAUGCAGCGACGCCGCGUGAUUUAGAAGGCCUUCGGGUUGUAAAAAUCUUUUCUAUGGGAAGAAAAUGACAGUACCAUAGGAAUAAGGACCGGCUAAUUACGUGCCAGCAGCCGCGGUAAUACGUAAGGUCCGAGCGUUGUCCGGAAUCAUUGGGCGUAAAGGGUACGUAGGCGGGUAAGCAAGUUAGAAGUGAAAUCCUAUAGCUCAACUAUAGUAAGCUUUUAAAACUGCUCAUCUUGAGGGAGUGAAGGGAAAGUGGAAUUCCUAGUGUAGCGGUGAAAUGCGCAGAUAUUAGGAGGAAUACCGGUGGCGAAGGCGACUUUCUGGCCAUAACCUGACGCUGAGGUACGAAAGCGUGGGUAGCAAACAGG
rnacentral:rRNA from 1 species